GACGAACGCUGGCGGCGUGCUUAACACAUGCAAGUCGAACGGAAAGGCCCUGCUUUUGUGGGGUGCUCGAGUGGCGAACGGGUGAGUAACACGUGAGUAACCUGCCCUUGACUUUGGGAUAACUUCAGGAAACAGGGGCUAAUACCGGAUAGGAGCUCCUGCUGCAUGGUGGGGGUUGGAAAGUUUCGGCGGUUGGGGAUGGACUCGCGGCUUAUCAGCUUGUUGGUGGGGUAGUGGCUUACCAAGGCUUUGACGGGUAGCCGGCCUGAGAGGGUGACCGGCCACAUUGGGACUGAGAUACGGCCCAGACUCCUACGGGAGGCAGCAGUGGGGAGUAUUGCACAAUGGGCGGAAGCCUGAUGCAGCAACGCCGCGUGCGGGAUGACGGCCUUCGGGUUGUAAACCGCUUUCGCCUGUGACGAAGCGUGAGUGACGGUAAUGGGUAAAGAAGCACCGGCUAACUACGUG
rnacentral:rRNA from 1 species